AGUGAACGCUGGCGGUAGGCCUAACACAUGCAAGUCGAACGGCAGCACAGUAAGAGCUUGCUCUUACGGGUGGCGAGUGGCGUACGGGUGAGGAAUACAUCGGAAUCUACUUUUUCGUGGGGGAUAACGUAGGGAAACUUACGCUAAUACCGCAUACGACCUACGGGUGAAAGCAGGGGAUCUUCGGACCUUGCGCGAUUGAAUGAGCCGAUGUCGGAUUAGUUAGUUGGGGGGGUAAGGGCCCACCAAGGGGACGAUCCGGAGCUGGUCUGAGAGGAUGAUCGGCCACACUGGAACUGAGACACGGUCCAGACUCCUACGGGAGGCAGCAGUGGGGAAUAUUAGACAAUGGGCGCAAGCCUGAUCCAGCCAUACCGCGUGGGUGAAGAAGGCCUUCGGGUUGUAAAGCCCUUUUGUUGGGAAAGAAAAGCAGCAGGUUAAUACCCCGCUGUUCUGACGGUACCCAAAGAAUAAGCACCGGCUAACUUCGUG
rnacentral:rRNA from 1 species